AGUAAGUUUGAGAAAUUUACUAAAAAAAAUGGUUUUUGGGAUUAAACAUUAUGUAUAUAUUUAUCUGUAACUUACCAACUACAAUAUUAAUUAGUAUUGAUUAAAAAUUAAAAACAAAGUGCUAGAGCUUUUAAUAGAAGAUUCUAUUUUUUGUGAGUAUUACCGCAUGGGUUUCAUUAAAUAAAUUGGAAACGAGCUAUAAAUAUGCUCGAUAAAACUUAUUUGCGAUUUCCAAAUCGCGUACAUUUAUAUAGAGGAGGAGCGCACUCACUCAACGAGGGUUUUAUACAUCGUAUUAUUAUAAUUAUAUUAUAUACGCACAUGCACACACACAUGACAUAUCUUUUAUGCACGCGUAUAUGUAUAUAAUAUUAUGAUGACAACAAUGAUGGCUCCCGUCCAUCCAUUUUUGCAGUACGUUUAUAUUAUUUGUAUUUCUACCCCGCGUUUCAGACUUUCAUUGUUAUGUGAUGUUAUAGACCAACGUCUCAUCGGCGCACCCCUACAUGCGGCCGCAGCGUAAAGUCCGUCAUACGACCAAUGCGUAUUUACUAUGCAUGUAUAAUAGGUAUACUGUAUAUAUAUAAUAUACUUGUUAUAUACAGCACGUGCGAUUUGCAUACAAUGCGAACGGGACUCGUUGCACUGUAUUGCAUAAUAUCCGCUGCAUAACAAAACGCGUGUAUGGAAUGUAUACAGAGCGUUUACUAUGGUUAUAUGUCGUAAUAAUGCACAUUCAAGUAGUAUAAUAAAUACCAAGAUACCAAUACUUAAUAAAUAAGUGGGACACUAUGCUCGAGUACAUCCGUUUUAUUGCUAUAGAAUAAAAAAUAUAGACGUGUGGAUCACGCUGUAUAUAAACGCACGCACACAUGAUAUAUAUGUAUAUAAUAUUAGCCGCCAUUUUUGCGCAUGUUGUACAUGUGACACGUAUUAUUUAUAUAUGGGUUAGGCAUACACGCAUGUGCAUAUACUUAACCCAUAUUAUACAUUAUACAGACAUACAGUGUAUGUGCAAUAUUGCACAGACACUUCGGCUCAGUAUAGUAUCGAGACGGUUACGAGUCUGCAGCAAGCGCGUCGUUGUACAUACAUAUUUUUGAACGCAUUUACUGUUUUACACUGAUGCAACCGUGAAUGAAACACUGCAACGAGUGCAACCGCAUCUUAGGAAUUAUGUAUAUUAUAGACACUUUUAAAACACUGUUUGUGCCAGCGUAUACACGAAUUAUGUAUAUUAUACUGGUGUGUGCAUCAAUUAUCAAAAUGUCUCCCAAGCCGCAAAAGCAUCACUCUGCAGUCCAUCUAUAUUAUAUACAUAUGCAGCAGGUGUAAUAAUGAAUGUUGGUUAAUCAGGUACUCACGUGGGCCAACAGACUGACAGUAAAGUUGUCCAAUUAUGUGUUUCAUCAGUUAAGUUGUAAUUUAUAUAUACAUAUAUAUAUAUAAGUUUUAUAAUCACAUUUUAUAUGUAAACAAUAAUUUUUAAGUAGUAGGUAUUUAUAGAGUUUAGCAUUUAUAUUAUAAUUUAGUAAAAAUCAUGGAAAUUAUUUCUUAUCACAAUAAUGUCUGUAUAAUUUGCUUUUUAAAGCUUAAAUUAUAAUUUGACCAUUAAAGUUUGAAUGUGUAUAUUUAAAUUUUAAAUUUAUUCAAAUAUUAUUAUGUCAUAGUUUGUUGUUAAUUAAAAAUAAAAAUCUCCUAAUGGAGAUUGGUAGAUA